rnacentral:rRNA from 1 species
GAUGAACGCUGGCGGCGUGCCUAAUACAUGCAAGUCGAACGAACGGACGCGAAGCUUGCUUCUCUGAUGUUAGCGGCGGCCAGGUGAUUAAUACGUCGUGAACCUCCCUCUACGACUGGGAUAACAUCGGCAAACCGGAGCUAGUACCGGAUAAUAUUUUGAACCGCUUGGUUCAAAAGUGAAGGACGGUCUUGCUGUCACUUAUAGAUGGACCCGCGCUGUAUUAGCUAGUUGGUAAGGUAACGGCUUACCAAGGCAACGAUGCAUAGCCGACCUGAGAGGGGGAUCGACGACACUGGAGCUGAGGCGCGGUCGAGAAUCCUACGAGAGGAAGCAGUAGGGAAGCAUACGCAAUGGGCGAAAGCCUGACGGAGCAGCGCCGCGGGAGUGAGGAAGGUCGUCGGAUCGUAAAACACUGUUAUUAGGGAAGAACAUAUGUGUAAGUAACUGUGCACAGCUUGACGGUAGCUAAACAGAAAGCCACGGCUAACUACGUG